rfam:Selaginella moellendorffii unplaced genomic scaffold SELMOscaffold_125, whole genome shotgun sequence.
GAGUAGGACCAUACCAGUACUGGUCACUGAAUCCCAUCAGACCUCCAAAGUUAAGUGUGCUUGGGCUUGAAUAGUACUGGGUUGGGUGACCACUCGGGAAGUCCAAGUGUCCUACUUU